rnacentral:rRNA from 1 species
CUCAGGACGAACGCUGGCGGCGUGCCUAAUACAUGCAAUUCGAACGAAGCUUUCUUUCACCGAAUGCUUGCAUUCACCGAAAGAAGCUUAGUGGCGAACGGGUGAGUAACACGUAGGCAACCUGCCCAAAAGAGGGGGAUAACACUUGGAAACAGGUGCUAAUACCGCAUAACCAUGAACACCGCAUGAUGUUCAUGUAAAAGACGGCUUUUGCUGUCACUUUUGGAUGGGCCUGCGGCGUAUUAACUUGUUGGUGGGGUAACGGCCUACCAAGGUGAUGAUACGUAGCCGAACUGAGAGGUUGAUCGGCCACAUUGGGACUGAGACACGGCCCAAACUCCUACGGGAGGCAGCAGUAGGGAAUCUUCCACAAUGGACGAAAGUCUGAUGGAGCAACGCCGCGUGAAUGAAGAAGGCCUUCGGGUCGUAAAAUUCUGUUGUCAGAGAAGAACGUGCGUGAGAGUAACUGUUCACGUAUUGACGGUAUCUAACCAGAAAGCCACGGCUAACUACGUGCCAGCAGCCGCGGUAAUACGUAGGUGGCAAGCGUUGUCCGGAUUUAUUGGGCGUAAAGGGAACGCAGGCGGUCUUUUAAGUCUGAUGUGAAAGCCUUCGGCUUAACCGAAGUAGUGCAUUGGAAACUGGAAGACUUGAGUGCAGAAGAGGAGAGUGGAACUCAUGUGUAGCGGUGAAAUGCGUAGAUAUAUGGAAGAACACCAGUGGCGAAAGCGGCUCUCUGGUCUGUAACUGACGCUGAGGUUCGAAAGCGUGGGUAGCAAACAGGAUUAGAUACCCUGGUAGUCCACGCCGU